AUUUAUAUAGUUUAAUAUAAAACUUUAUAUUUUCAUUAUAAAAAUAAACAACUCCAAGUUUUAUAAAUU
rnacentral:tRNA from 1 species